UACAGAGGUCUCAAGCGUUGUUCGGAUUCAUUGGGCGUAAAGGGUGUGUAGGUGGCGCCGUAAGUCGGGUGUGAAAUUUCGGAGCUUAACUCCGAAACUGCAUUCGAUACUGCGGUGCUUGAGGACUGGAGAGGAGACUGGAAUUCAUGGUGUAGCAGUGAAAUGCGUAGAUAUCAGGAGGAACACCGAUGGCGAAGGCAGGGUCUCUGGGCCGAUACUGACGUGAGGAGCGAAAGACGUGGGGAGCGAACAGG
rnacentral:rRNA from 1 species